rnacentral:rRNA from 1 species
UACGGAGGGUGCGAGCGUUGUCCGGAAUCAUUGGGCGUAAAGCGGGUGUAGGUGGCUCUGUAAGUCAGAAGUGAAAUCCCCGAGCUUAACUCGGGAAGUGCUUUUGAAACUGCAGAGCUUGAAUGUGGGAGAGGAUCGUGGAAUUCCAGGUGUAGUGGUGAAAUACGUAGAUAUCUGGAGGAACACCGGUGGCGAAGGCGGCGAUCUGGCCCAACAUUGACACUGAGACCCGAAAGCGUGGGGAUCAAACAGG